rnacentral:rRNA from 1 species
UACGUAGGGUGCAAGCGUUAAUCGGAAUUACUGGGCGUAAAGCGUGCGCAGGCGGUUAUGCAAGACAGAUGUGAAAUCCCCGGGCUUAACCUGGGAACUGCAUUUGUGACUGCAUAGCUCGAGUACGGCAGAGGGGGAUGGAAUUCCGCGUGUAGCAGUGAAAUGCGUAGAUAUGCGGAGGAACACCGAUGGCGAAGGCAAUCCCCUGGGCCUGUACUGACGCUCAUGCACGAAAGCGUGGGGAGCAAACAGG